AUCAUGUCCUUGAGGUCCUGCUGUUUAUUGGACAAAUUGCAGUAACCGCAGCUCCUCGUGUAUGGCAGAGCCGUGCAAAGCCGGGACUGCCUGUGUGGCUCCUUGAGUGCGUGGAGGCCAAAGCUGAGAUGACUUGCCUGGGAUGCCACACGUGUUGGGCAGCAGACCGAGCCUCCCACCCCUCCCUCUUGCCCCCAAGGUACCACGGCCCACGUGGGCAUCAUGCUGUAUGGGGUGGACAGCCGGAGUGGCCACCGGCACCUGGACGGCGACAGAGCCUUCCACCGCAACAGCCUGGACAUCUUCCGGAUCGCCACCCCGCAUAGCCUGGGUAGCGUGUGGAAGAUCCGAGUGUGGCACGACAACAAAGGGCUCAGCCCUGCCUGGUUCCUGCAGCACAUCAUCGUCAGGGACCUGCAGACGGCACGCAGCGCCUUCUUCCUGGUCAAUGACUGGCUUUCGGUGGAGACGGAGGCCAACGGGGGCCUGGUGGAGAAGGAGGUGCUGGCCGCGAGCGACGCAGCCCUGUUGCGCUUCCGGCGCCUGCUGGUGGCUGAGCUGCA
rnacentral:sRNA from 1 species